rnacentral:rRNA from 1 species
UUGGGUUAAGUCCCGCAACGAGCGCAACCCUCGCCUCUAGUUGCCAGCAUUCGGUUGGGCACUCUAGAGGGACUGCCGGCGACAAGUCGGAGGAAGGUGGGGAUGACGUCAAAUCAUCAUGCCCCUUAUGACCUGGGCUACACACGUGCUACAAUGGGCGGUACAAAGGGCUGCGAACCCGCGAGGGGGAGCGAAUCCCAAAAAGCCGCUCUCAGUUCGGAUUGCAGGCUGCAACUCGCCUGCAUGAAGCCGGAAUCGCUAGUAAUCGCGGAUCAGCAUGCCGCGGUGAAUACGUUCCCGGGCCUU